UACGUAGGGUGCGAGCGUUAAUCGGAAUUAUUGGGCGUAAAGAGCUCGUAGGCGGUUUGUCGCGUCUGCCGUGAAAGUCCGGGGCUCAACUCCGGAUCUGCGGUGGGUACGGGCAGACUAGAGUGAUGUAGGGGAGACUGGAAUUCCUGGUGUAGCGGUGAAAUGCGCAGAUAUCAGGAGGAACACCAGUGGCGAAGGCGGCCACCUGGACAGUAACUGACGCUGAGGCGCGAAAGCGUGGGUAGCAAACAGG
rnacentral:rRNA from 1 species